rnacentral:rRNA from 1 species
AGGACGAACGCUGGCGGCGUGCUUAACACAUGCAAGUCGAGCGGUAAGGCCUCCUUCGGGGGUACACGAGCGGCGAACGGGUGAGUAACACGUGGGUGACCUGCCCUCAGCUCUGGGAUAAGCCUGGGAAACUGGGUCUAAUACUGGAUAUUCACUUCUCAUCGCAUGGUGGGUGGUGGAAAGUUUUUUCGGCUGGGGAUGGGCCCGCGGCCUAUCAGCUUGUUGGUGGGGUGAUGGCCUACCAAGGCGACG